rnacentral:rRNA from 1 species
GCAUCUAAGCACGAAGCCCCCCUCAAGAUAAGAUCUCCACACAAGGGUCGUCAGAGACGAUGACGUCGAUAGGACGCAGGUGCAGAGGCGGCAACGUCUACAGCCGAGCGUUACUAAUCACCCGAACCCUUUCCGGG